AUAACUUCUGGAAACGGAUGCUAAACCGGAUAGGUAGCAGACAAGCAUUUGACUGCUAUUAAAGUGGCUAAGGCCAUGAACAUGGAUGGACCUGCGGUGCAUUAGCUAGUUGGUGAGGUAACGGCCCACCAAGGCGACGAUGCAUAGCCGGCCUGAGAGGGCGGACGGCCACAUUGGGACUGAGACACGGCCCAAACUCCUACGGGAGGCAGCAGUAGGGAAUUUUCGUCAAUGGGGGGAACCCUGAACGAGCAAUGCCGCGUGAGUGAGGAAGGUCUUCGGAUCGUAAAGCUCUGUUGUAAGAGAAAAACGGCACUCAUAGGGAAUGAUGAGUGAGUGAUGGUAUCUUACCAGAAAGUCACGGCUAACUACGUGCCAGCAGCCGCGGUAAUACGUAGGUGGCGAGCGUUAUCCGGAAUGAUUGGGCGUAAAGGGUGUGUAGGUGGCAGAUCAAGUCUGGAGUAAAAGGUAUGGGCUCAACCCGUACUGCUCUGGAAACUGAUCAGCUAGAGAACAGAAGAGGACGGCGGAACUCCAUGUGUAGCGGUAAAAUGCGUAGAUAUAUGGAAGAACACCGGUGGCGAAGGCGGCCGUCUGGUCUGGAUUCUGACACUGAAGCACGAAAGCGUGGGGAGCAAAUAGGAUUAGAUACCCUAGUAGUCCACGCCGUAAAC
rnacentral:rRNA from 1 species